rnacentral:rRNA from 1 species
ACCGGGAGAAAAGAAAACAACAGGGAUUGCCCUAGUAACGGCGAGUGAAGCGGCAACAGCUCAAAUUUGAAAUCUGGCUCUUUUAGAGUCCGAGUUGUAAUUUGCAGAGGGCGCUUUGGCUUUGGCAGCGGUCCAAGUUCCUUGGAACAGGACGUCACAGAGGGUGAGAAUCCCGUACGUGGUCGCUGGCUAUUGCCGUGUAAAGCCCCUUCGACGAGUCGAGUUGUUUGGGAAUGCAGCUCUAAAUGGGAGGUACAUUUCUUCUAAAGCUAAAUAUUGGCCAGAGACCGAUAGCGCACAAGUAGAGUGAUCGAAAGAUGAAAAGCACUUUGGAAAGAGAGUCAAACAGCACGUGAAAUUGUUGAAAGGGAAGCGCUUGCAGCCAGACUUGCUUACAGUUGCUCAUCCGGGUUUUUACCCGGUGCACUCUUCUGUAGGCAGGCCAGCAUCAGUUUGGGCGGUAGGAUAAAGGUCUCUGUCACGUACCUCCUUUCGGGGAGGCCUUAUAGGGGAGACGACAUACUACCAGCCUGGACUGAGGUCCGCGCAUCUGCUAGGAUGCUGGCGUAAUGGCUGUAAGCGGCCCGUCUUGAAACACGGACCAAGGAGUCUAACAUCUAUGCGAGUGUUUGGGUGUCAAGCCCGAGCGCGUAAUGAAAGUGAACGGAGGUGGGAACCCGCAGGGUGCACCAUCGACCGAUCCUGAUGUCUUCGGAAGGAUUUGAGUAAGAGCAUGGCUGUUGGGACCCGAAAGAUGGUGAACUAUGCUUGAAUAGGGUGAAGCCAGAGGAAACUCUGGUGGAGCUCGCAGCGGUUCUGACGUGCAAAUCGAUCGUCAUAUUUGGGCAUAGGGGCGAGAGACUAAUCGAAAUUUCUAUUACCUGGUUCCUGCCGAAGAUACUCCCCGGGGAUAAGAAGAAC